GCAUCAGGUUGACACACCGGUUCCUGUAUGAUCACCGAAGUUAAGCAACGUCGAGCCGGUUCUGUACGUAGAUGGGUGACAGCUUGAGAAUACCAG